CGUUUUGUGCUCUUCGCUUCGCAUUCAGUUUCUUUUUCUCUUUCUUUGCGCACGGUUCAGUGGUAGGAAAACUAGGAGGAAUCGUUCAGUAAAGUCCCGAGAUCCGUUCGCUAUUCCCCGACUCGAAUAAAAUCCAUAUACACAUAUAUAUCAAAUAAACAAAGGAAAGGAGUCCUUAGAAAAGAGAAUAACGUGUUAAAAGUAGCAAAAACGAAUUAAAAAAGAAGUGUGCAAUAAGUAAAGAAAGCAGAGACCCAAGGAAAGUUGAAAGUUGAAAACCAGAAUCUCGUCGAGAACAAAACAAAAAGUCCCCAAAAACACACACACGCACGCAACAAAAUGAGUGUCUGUGAGAGUAAAGCCGUUGUGCAACAGCAACUGCAGCAGCACUUGCAGCAACAGGCAGCCGCAGCAGUUGUUGCGGUCGCGCAACAGCAGCAGGCUCAGGCCCAAGCUCAAGCCCAAGCCCAAGCUCAGGCCCAGGCUCAGGCGCAGCAGCAAGCGCAGCAGCAGCAGGCGCCGCAGGUGGUGGUCCCCAUGACCCCGCAGCACUUGACCCCGCAGCAGCAGCAGCAGAGCACACAGAGCAUCGCCGACUAUCUGGCCCAGUUGCUCAAGGACCGCAAGCAGCUGGCCGCCUUCCCCAACGUCUUCACCCACGUCGAACGCCUGCUGGACGAAGAAAUUGCACGCGUGCGCGCCUCACUGUUCCAGAUCAAUGGGGUCAAGAAGGAGCCCCUCACUCUGCCCGAACCCGAGGGCUCUGUGGUGACGAUGAACGAGAAGGUUUAUGUGCCAGUGCGCGAGCAUCCAGAUUUCAACUUUGUCGGCCGCAUUUUGGGACCGCGUGGCAUGACCGCCAAGCAAUUGGAGCAGGAGACCGGUUGCAAGAUCAUGGUCCGCGGCAAGGGUUCCAUGCGCGACAAGAAGAAGGAGGACGCCAACCGUGGCAAGCCCAACUGGGAGCAUCUGUCCGAUGACCUGCAUGUCCUGAUAACCGUCGAGGACACCGAGAACCGUGCCACAGUUAAGUUGGCCCAGGCCGUAGCUGAAGUACAGAAGUUGCUCGUGCCGCAAGCCGAAGGCGAAGAUGAGCUAAAGAAACGUCAACUUAUGGAAUUGGCGAUUAUUAAUGGCACUUAUAGGGACACAACAGCGAAAUCUGUCGCAGCUUUCUCAUGCGUUGGCUCUGCUUCUUAUCUGUAUCCCGCAGUGUGCGAUGAGGAGUGGCGCCGCCUGGUUGCCGCCUCUGAUAGCCGCCUGCUGACGUCCACCGGCCUGCCCGGCCUUGCCGCCCAGAUCCGUGCCCCCGCCACCGCCCCGCUGGGCGCCCCAUUGAUCCUGAAUCCCCGGAUGACCGUACCCACAACGGCGGCCAGCAUAUUGUCCGCCCAGGCAGCUCCGACAGCCGCCUUCGACCAGACCGGCCAUGGAAUGAUCUUCGCACCGUACGAUUAUGCGAACUACGCCGCCCUAGCCGGCAAUCCUCUGCUCACGGAGUAUGCUGAUCAUAGCGUAGGCGCCAUUAAGCAGCAGCGUCGUUUGGCGACUAACCGCGAGCAUCCCUAUCAGCGAGCAACGGUCGGAGUGCCAGCCAAGCCGGCGGGUUUCAUUGAGAUACAGUAAAUACAAUGCAUAGUGAAUCGGGAUAAGCGAAGCACUAUAAACUCAGAAUGUAACACUUUAAAUCACACCAUAUCGGCGAAAGCAACUUUACCACUUUUAAUAUCAAUAUUUGUACGAAAAAGGAAAGAAACCAUUUAAGAACAACGGAAAUCGAAGGAUUGUGUUUGUCUGCCCGUUUGAUUGCGUUCACCAGGCAACCGAUCACUUUAGUUCAAUUAUUUAAAAUUUUGUUUGCUAUUUAUUUUGAUACCAAUGCUGCUCAUAACUGACCAUCCGUAAUCCAACCCCAAAUCCACUGUACCACUGUAUAUCCGAUGAAACCUGGCCGGAAACGUUGGCCUGGCCUGGCCGCUCUGCCCUGAUCAGGGUUCUGAAAAAGAAUUUUCAUGCGCACCGCCUCCACAGAUGAGCACGGAAUCAGAGCAGCAGCAGCAUCCCAGCUAUCCCAGCCAUACCAACCAUACCAGCCAUCCCAGCCAGGCCGAAAGCAGAGCCAAGUGUGUGUUGUGAAUGUGCUUACUUGAAGCUAACAAAACAAAAAAAAAAGAAAAAGAAAACCGUAACCAAAAGCCAGAAAUCUGAGCCACCACAUGUCACUUGCACAACUACUAAAACACUGAACCCCGAACUCUGAACUCUGAACUUAUUUGCCACAUGAGCAGCAGAUGCGGCAGAUGCAGCACAUCAACACCUGCAACAGCACAACAGCAAAAGCAUCAGUAACAGCAACAGCAUCAGCAACAGCAUCAGCAACAGCAUCAGCAACAGCAAAAGCAACAGCAGCAACAUCAGUAUGUAUUGAAUCUUGUGGCCAUUAAACUGUUACGUUUUGCCAGCAACAAAACAAGGCAAUUAAGCAAACAAUUGAUAAGAGAAUCAAACAUAGAGCUUAGUUUAAUUAUCAUAAUCUAAAGGAAAAUACAAGUUAGUUCUUAGUGUAAAAGUUCAACGAACAAAAACAUACUUAAUGCAAACAUAUACAUAUAUAUAUAUAUAUAUAUUUAAAUAUAUACAUCCAAAUGCAUAUACAAGUCUGUAUAUAAUAACUCCCAAAAAAAAACCCCAAACAACAAAAAUCUAAGAAAAUCAUGUUAACGGAAUCUCAUCCAAGAAACUCUACCCAACCAACAAAAACUGUUUUAAUUUUUUUAAAAUCUGCCCUUUUAACUCAAAUUGCAAAAAUGAAUCUUUACCCCUUUCAUUGUAAUCCUUUUAAUGGAUUGUGCAAGAGAUCUAUUCAAAUCCUUAUUGUGUCGGAUAUAGAUUUUCACCCCUCGAUUAAGCAUAAUCUAUUUUUGUUAAACUGACGCUAAUUCUUGUUAAUGAAGUAUUUUUUGAUUAUGUUAUUGCAUAUCUAUAUUUUAUGUAUAGAUUUCGUACCCCACUUCAAAUUGAUUGUGUGAAAAGUAAGUGGGGGCGAAACAGAAACAACAUAUAUAACACAUUUAACAGCCAUAUUUAGUUAAUGAAACAAACAUAUAUUAUGAUAAUAGCAUCGAGCAUUCAUAAUGUACAACUAAACGCUAAACUUAAAUUAUUUGUAAUAUUUUAAAGCUAAUGUAUUAUAUGCAGAAAUAAACACAAACUCACUUUUUUUAAACGAAUAAUUGUUCUUCGAAAGCGAUGGCCACAACAAAAAGAGAAUUCUUUAAUUUAAAAUAAAUAUCACGCCUGCAGUAAUGGCAAUAAUGUAUCUAUUUUAUAAUAGUGAAUGAAAUAAAAGAAAUGCAGAAAAAUUAGCACAGAACAAAACUAGAAAGCGAAAGUAAAUUGCAUUUAAUUAAUGGUACAAAGCAACCAACGCAAAGUUGUUGCAAACUUUAUUUUAAAUUAAAGAAUUUGCAUUAAAUUUUGUUGAGAAAAGCAAAUCUUAUUAAUAUGUGCCUUAAACAAGUUGUAAAAUUGGCACGAAUCAAAAUGAAAAUUAAAUUUAAAAACAAAUGCAAAGUAUACAGAAACUCUGUUGAAAUUAUUCUGCGAAAUGUGAGACUUAUACUCAGAAACAAGACGAUGUUCAACCGCGUGGGAGUUGACUAAUCUUUUAAUGUUAAUAAAUCAUAAUCAUAAUGUAUAACUUUUAUUGAUAAUGACGGCAAUCGUGCAAUCGUAGCAAACCUUGCUUAUGAUGAGUUCUGAAUUAAUUUUAACACGAUGAAAAUGUAAUUCUUUCGAUAAUUGAAUAACAGAAAGAAAGAAUCGUCUAGUUUUAUUCGCAUUACAUAAAUCGUAUGCUGUGCCCCUAACAUCGCAUUAAAAACAUCAUUCAUCUCCAUUGCCAGCAUUGUAUAAUUUUAACUUCAUAAUUUGAGAAGGAAAUCAUUGAUAUUUUGUGAGGUAAUCCAUAUGUUCAAAACCUAAUAAUAUAUAUAAAGAAUGCACA